UACGGAGGGGGCUAGCGUUGUUCGGAAUUACUGGGCGUAAAGCGCACGUAGGCGGCGUGUUUAGUCAGGGGUGAAAGGCCCGGGCUCAACCCGGGAACGGCCUUUGAUACUGGCACGCUUGAGUCCGAGAGGGGGUGGUGGAACUCCCAGUGUAGAGGUGAAAUUCGUAGAUAUUGGGAAGAACACCGGUGGCGAAGGCGACCACCUGGCUCGGAACUGACGCUGAGGUGCGAAAGCGUGGGGAGCAAACAGG
rnacentral:rRNA from 1 species